AGUAAUGUAUGGGGAUCUGCCCGAUAGAGGGGGAUAACUACUGGAAACGGUGGCUAAUACCGCAUAAUGUCUACGGACCAAAGCAGGGGCUCUUCGGACCUUGCACUAUCGGAUGAACCCAUAUGGGAUUAGCUAGUAGGUGGGGUAAGGGCUCACCUAGGCGACGAUCUCUAGCUGGUCUGAGAGGAUGAUCAGCCACACUGGGACUGAGACACGGCCCAA
rnacentral:rRNA from 1 species